UCAAAAAGAACUUUAUGCCUGGAAUGGUUUAUGUUUCAAAUAAUUUAUUGCCGUAGGAUGGGACUGCGGCCUAUCAGUUUGUUGGUGAGGUAAUGGCCCACCAAGACUAUUACAGGUACGGGCUCUGAGAGGAGUAGCCCGGAGAUGGGUACUGAGACACGGACCCAGGCCCUAUGGGGCGCAGCAGGCGAGAAAACUUUGCAAUGUGCGAAAGCACGACAAGGUUAAUCCGAGUGGUUUCUGCUAAAGGAACCUUUUGUCAGUCCUAGAAACACUGAUGAAUAAGGGGUGGGCAAGUUCUGGUGUCAGCCGCCGCGGUAAAACCAGCACCUCAAGUGGUCAGGAUGAUUAUUGGGCCUAAAGCAUCCGUAGCCUGCUUUGUUAGUUUUCGGUUAAAUCCAUACGCUCAACGUAUGGGCUGCCGGGAAUACUGCAAAGCUAGGGAGUGGGAGAGGUAGACGGUACUCGGUAGGAAGGGGUAAAAUCCUUUGAUCUAUUGAUGACCACCUGUGGCGAAGGCGGUCUACCAGAACACGUCCGACGGUGAGGGAUGAAAGCUGGGGGAGCAAACCGGAUUAGAUACCCGGGUAGUCCCAGCUGUAAACUAUGCAAACUCAGUGAUGCAUUGGCUUGAUGCCAAUGCAGUGCUG
rnacentral:rRNA from 1 species